UACGUAGGGUGCAAGCGUUGUCCGGAAUUAUUGGGCGUAAAGAGCUCGUAGGCGGUCUGUCGCGUCUGCUGUGAAAACUCGGGGCUUAACCCCGGGCCUGCAGUGGGUACGGGCAGACUAGAGUGCGGUAGGGGAGACUGGAAUUCCUGGUGUAGCGGUGAAAUGCGCAGAUAUUAGGAGGAACACCGGUGGCGAAGGCGGGUCUCUGGGCCGUAACUGACGCUGAGGAGCGAAAGCGUGGGGAGCGAACAGG
rnacentral:rRNA from 1 species